GGGUGUCAGAUGACUGUCCUGCCAUUUCUAUCCCAGCAGUCUCUUCCAACUCUAGCUGCGAAUCCUGGACUGUAACAUCCCUGGCUGGGGAACCAUCGGAAGCAGAAAACUGGCCCUCAGCCCUCGAUGUCACACUGCAGACUCUCAGUGUGCCCAGAGCACUGUCAGCUGCAUUGGCACCGUCUUCUGCUGCUUGGGGCCUUAGCAGCUGGGGCACGCUCAUGCUGUUUGGCCAGGAUGUGUUCCAGCUGGACAGCAUCUGGCCCUUCCUCGCCUCAUCCCGGAUUCUCCGGAUUGCUGGGUGAACUGGAGGAUAUCCAUACGCCUCCCCGUACGCCUCUCUGGGAUCUUGCAAUCUCUGUGCUUCUCCCACAGAUUGGUUGGAGAAUUCAGGCGUGGUGGUAGCUGUUUCUUCUUCUUCUCCCUCCCAUGGUCUCCAGAAAAGUGGCGCCGCGUUGGCCUCCUCUGGAAACUAUUCAGCCUUGGAAGAAGUUGAGUUUUCCCCAUCUUCAGGACCUGUUACAGGCAAAGGCUCAAGGUGUCCUCCAGGCCCAGGCCCAGCAGCCAGAAGAGAAGCUGAACACAGGGUGUCUGCCUCAUCAGAUGAGGCAAGAGAUGCGCUCCACAGUUGGCCAGAUGACCAUCCUGUGGAUUCCUUCUCAGCAGCCUCUUCCAACACUUGCAGCUCCGUCUGCACUCCAACAUCCCUGGUUCCGGCACCACCAGAGGCAGGAACCUGACCCUCAGCCCUCGAUGUCGCGGAGCGUACGCCCAGUUUUCCCUGAGCAGUGUUGCUAGCACUGGCACCAUCGUCUGCUGCUUGGGGCACGAGAAGCUUGGGCACGCUCACAGAGUUUGCCGAGCACAUGUUGCAACUGCACGGCAUCUCUGGUGCUUGCUGAGGUCUUGGGGCAAGUACUGGGAGUCUGCUGCCUCUAAUGCCCAUGGCACGUGCGCUGCCUCUUGCAGAAGGUGUGCAAGAGGCUGCUGCUUGCAGAGCAGGCAGCUUACGGGCAUUAGAAGAUGCUGCCGCACGCCAGGGUGCAGCUGCCGGCAUCCGUGCCUGCCUUAAGUGAGGCAGCAGGGGUGGCUGAGGCUGUCUCCUUUGCCCACUGGCACUGCCGCAGGUCACCGACAGCGUAAACUCC
ensembl:lncRNA